rnacentral:rRNA from 1 species
GAUGAACGCUGGCGGCGUGCCUAAUACAUGCAAGUCGAGCGAACAGACGAGGAGCUUGCUCCUCUGACGUUAGCGGCGGACGGGUGAGUAACACGUGGAUAACCUACCUAUAAGACUGGGAUAACUUCGGGAAACCGGAGCUAAUACCGGAUAAUAUAUUGAACCGCAUGGUUCAAUAGUGAAAGACGGUUUUGCUGUCACUUAUAGAUGGAUCCGCGCCGCAUUAGCUAGUUGGUAAGGUAACGGCUUACCAAGGCAACGAUGCGUAGCCGACCUGAGAGGGUGAUCGGCCACACUUGAGCUGAGACGCGGUCCAGACUCCUACGGGAGGCAGCAGUAGGGUAUCGUCCGCAAUGGGCGAAAGCAUGACGGAGCAGCGCCGCGUGAGUGAUGAAGGUCUUCGGAUCGUAAAACUCUGUUAUUAGGGAAAAACAAAUGUGUAAGUAACUAUGCACGUCUUGACGGUACCUAAUCAGAAAGCCACGGCUAACUACGUG